CUUUGGACCAUGGAGAUUCUGCAGUUGUUGCUCUAGGAGCUGAAACCAGUGGGUAGAUGUCGUUCUGAAACGCAGUCAACCAAUAUUGCCUGUCAUGGAACAGCUGUGCCCUCCUGUCAGGAGGGAAAGAUGAGUGAGACCCAUCCUCACCCUCACAGAGAUGCAGUCUGGUGGUCUCUGGAAGAAGGAAGUUGUGAAACUUACCGAUUCCUUGGGAAAACAGAUGGAGUCUUGUUCUGUUG
rnacentral:lncRNA from 10 species